rnacentral:rRNA from 1 species
UGCAGUCGAGCGCGGGAAGCAGAUGGAAUCCUUCGGGAGGAAAUCUGUGGAACGAGCGGCGGACGGGUGAGUAACACGUGGGUAACCUGCCUGUAAGACUGGGAUAACUCGCGGAAACGUGAGCUAAUACCGGAUGAAACUUCUUAUCACCUGAUGAGAAGAUGAAAGGCGGCUUCGGCUGCCACUUACAGAUGGACCCGCGGCGCAUUAGCUAGUUGGUGAGAUAAUGGCUCACCAAGGCAACGAUGCGUAGCCGACCUGAGAGGGUGAUCGGCCAUACUGGGACUGAGACACGGCCCAGACUCCUACGGGAGGCAGCAGUAGGGAAUCUUCCGCAAUGGACGAAAGUCUGACGGAGCAACGCCGCGUGAGUGAUGAAGGUUUUCGGAUCGUAAAACUCUGUUGUUAGGGAAGAACAAGUACCGUUCGAAUAGGGCGGUACCUUGACGGUACUUAACCAGAAAGCCCCGGCUAACUACGUGCCAGCAGCCGCGGUAAUACGUAGGGGGCAAGCGUUGUCCGGAAUUAUUGGGCGUAAAGCGCUCGCAGGCGGCCUUUUAAGUCUGAUGUGAAAGCCCACGGCUCAACCCGUGGAGGGUCAUUGGAAACUGAAGGGCUUGAGUACAGAAG